ACAGUGGACGCGAGCAUCUGUGGCCAAGUUUUUAAGGGCGCACGGUGGAUGCCUUGGCACCAGGAACCGAUGAAGGACGUGGGAGGCCACGAUAGGCCCCGGGGAGCUGUCAACCGAGCUUUGAUCCGGGGGUGUCCGAAUGGGGAAACCCGGCAGUCGUCAUGGGCUGUCACCCGCUGCUGAACACAUAGGCAGUGUGGAGGGAACGCGGGGAAGUGAAACAUCUCAGUACCCGCAGGAAGAGAAAACAACCGUGAUUCCGGGAGUAGUGGCGAGCGAAACCGGAUGAGGCCAAACCGUAUGUGUGUGAUACCCGGCAGGGGUUGCGCAUGCGGGGUUGUGGGAUCUCUUUUUCAUAGUCUGCCGGCUGUGAGACGAGUCAGAAACCGUUGAUGUAGGCGAAGGACAUGCGAAAGGUCCGGCGUAGAGGGUAAGACCCCCGUAGCUGAAACAUUGACGGCUCGUUUAAGAGACACCCAAGUAGCACGGGGCCCGAGAAAUCCCGUGUGAAUCUGGCGGGACCACCCGCUAAGCCUAAAUAUUCCCUGGUGACCGAUAGCGGAUAGUACCGUGAGGGAAUGGUGAAAAGUACCGCGGGAGCGGAGUGAAAUAGUACCUGAAACCGUGUGCCUACAAGCCGUGGGAGCGUCGCGCAUCGAGCUUGCUCGGUGCGUCGUGACUGCGUGCCUUUUGAAGAAUGAGCCUGCGAGUUUGCGGUAUGUUGCGAGGUUAACCCGUGUGGGGAAGCCGUAGCGAAAGCGAGUCCGAAUAGGGCGUUUGAGUAGCGUGCCCAAGACCCGAAGCGGAGUGAUCUAGCCAUGGGCAGGUUGAAGCGGAGGUAAGACUUCGUGGAGGACCGAACCCACCAGGGUUGAAAACCUGGGGGAUGACCUGUGGUUAGGGGUGAAAGGCCAAUCAAACUCCGUGAUAGCUGGUUCUCCCCGAAAUGCAUUUAGGUGCAGCGUCGUGUGUUUCUUGCCGGAGGUAGAGCACUGGAUAGGCGAUGGGCCCUACCGGGUUACUGACCUUAGCCAAACUCCGAAUGCCGGUAAGUGAGAGCGCGGCAGUGAGACUGUGGGGGAUAAGCUCCAUGGUCGAGAGGGAAACAGCCCAGAGCAUCGACUAAGGCCCCUAAGCGUACGCUAAGUGGGAAAGGAUGUGGAGUCGCAGAGACAACCAGGAGGUUGGCUUAGAAGCAGCCACCCUUGAAAGAGUGCGUAAUAGCUCACUGGUCAAGUGAUUCCGCGCCGACAAUGUAGCGGGGCUCAAGCGUACCGCCGAAGUCGUGUCAUUGCAGUAUGUACCCCCAACGGGGACUGUGAUGGGUAGGGGAGCGUCGUGUGCCGGGUGAAGCAGCCGCGGAAGCGAGUUGUGGACGGUUCACGAGUGAGAAUGCAGGCAUGAGUAGCGAUACACACGUGAGAAACGUGUGCGCCGAUUGACUAAGGGUUCCUGGGUCAAGCUGAUCUGCCCAGGGUAAGUCGGGACCUAAGGCGAGGCCGACAGGCGUAGUCGAUGGACAACCGGUUGAUAUUCCGGUACCCGCUUUGAAACGCCCAAUAUCGAAUCAGGCGAUGCUAAGUCCGUGAAGCCGCCCUGGAGUCUUCGGACAAAGGGGAGUGGUGGAGCCGACGAACCAGACUUGUAGUAGGUAAGCGAUGGGGUGACGCAGGAAGGUAGUCCAGCCCGGGCGGUGGUAGUCCCGGGGUAAGGGUGUAGGCCGUGUGAUAGGCAAAUCCGUCACACAUUAAGGCUGAGACCUGAUGCCGAGCCGAUUGUGGUGAAGUGGAUGAUCCUAUGCUGUCGAGAAAAGCCUCUAGCGAGUUUCAUGGCGGCCCGUACCCUAAACCGACUCAGGUGGUCAGGUAGAGAAUACCGAGGCGUUCGGGUGAACUAUGGUUAAGGAACUCGGCAAAAUGCCCCCGUAACUUCGGGAGAAGGGGGGCCAUGUCUGGUGAGGGAACUUGCUUCCUGAGCUGGGUGUGGCCGCAGAGACCAGCGAGAAGCGACUGUUUACUAAAAACACAGGUCCGUGCGAAGCCGUAAGGCGAUGUAUACGGACUGACGCCUGCCCGGUGCUGGAACGUUAAGGGGACCGGUUAGCUCCAUUUCGGUGGGGCGAAGCUGAGAACUUAAGCGCCAGUAAACGGCGGUGGUAACUAUAACCAUCCUAAGGUAGCGAAAUUCCUUGUCGGGUAAGUUCCGACCUGCACGAAUGGCGUAACGACUUCUCGACUGUCUCAACCAUAGGCCCGGUGAAAUUGCACUACGAGUAAAGAUGCUCGUUUCGCGCAGCAGGACGGAAAGACCCCGGGACCUUUACUAUAGCUUGAUAUUGGUGUUCGGUUCGGCUUGUGUAGGAUAGGUGGGAGACUGUGAAGCAUGCACGCCAGUGUGUGUGGAGUCGUCGUUGAAAUACCACUCUGGUCGUGCUGGAUGUCUAACCUGGGUCCGUGAUCCGGAUCAGGGACAGUGUCUGGUGGGUAGUUUAACUGGGGCGGUUGCCUCCUAAAGGGUAACGGAGGCGCCCAAAGGUUCCCUCAGCCUGGUUGGCAAUCAGGUGUUGAGUGUAAGUGCACAAGGGAGCUUGACUGUGAGACCGACGGGUCGAGCAGGGACGAAAGUCGGGACUAGUGAUCCGGCGGUGGCUUGUGGAAGCGCCGUCGCUCAACGGAUAAAAGGUACCCCGGGGAUAACAGGCUGAUCUUCCCCAAGAGUCCAUAUCGACGGGAUGGUUUGGCACCUCGAUGUCGGCUCGUCGCAUCCUGGGGCUGGAGUCGGUCCCAAGGGUUGGGCUGUUCGCCCAUUAAAGCGGUACGCGAGCUGGGUUUAGAACGUCGUGAGACAGUUCGGUCCCUAUCCGCUGUGCGCGUAGGAGUCUUGAGAAGGGCUGUCCCUAGUACGAGAGGACCGGGACGGACGAACCUCUGGUGUGCCAGUUGUCCUGCCAAGGGCAUGGCUGGUUGGCUACGUUCGGGAGGGAUAACCGCUGAAAGCAUCUAAGCGGGAAGCCUGCUUCGAGAUGAGGACUCCCACCCACUUGAUGGGGUAAGGCUCCCAGUAGACGACUGGGUUGAUAGGCCAGGUGUGGAAGACCGGUAACGGUUGGAGCUGACUGGUACUAAUAGGCCGAGGGCUUGUCCUCAGUUG
rnacentral:rRNA from 1 species